rnacentral:rRNA from 1 species
AAAGAGUUUUCGGACAAUGGAAGUAGAGGAAAGUGGCGGACGGGUGAGUAACGCGUGAGGAACCUGCCUUGAAGAGGGGGACAACAGUUGGAAACGACUGCUAAUACCGCAUGAAGCAUAGGGGUCGCAUGGCCCUGAUGUCAAAGAUUUAUCGCUGAAAGAUGGCCUCGCGUCUGAUUAGCUAGUUGGUGAGGUAACGGCCCACCAAGGCGACGAUCAGUAGCCGGACUGAGAGGUUGAACGGCCACAUUGGGACUGAGAUACGGCCCAGACUCC